rnacentral:rRNA from 1 species
UUCUACGGGAGGCAGCAGUGGGGAAUUUUGGACAAUGGGGGCAACCCUGAUCCAGCCAUUCCGCGUGAGUGAAGAAGGCCUUCGGGUUGUAAAGCUCUUUCGGCAGGAACGAAACGGCGAGCUCUAACAUAGCUCGCUAAUGACGGUACCUGAAGAAGAAGCACCGGCUAACUACGUGCCAGCAGCCGCGGUAAUACGUAGGGUGCGAGCGUUAAUCGGAAUUACUGGGCGUAAAGCGUGCGCAGGCGGUUGUGUAAGACAGGUGUGAAAUCCCCGGGCUUAACCUGGGAACUGCGCUUGUGACUGCACGGCUAGAGUAUGGCAGAGGGGGGUGGAAUUCCACGUGUAGCAGUGAAAUGCGUARAGAUGUGGAGGAACACCGAUGGCGAAGGCAGCCCCCUGGGCCAAUACUGACGCUCAUGCACGAAAGCGUGGGGAGCAAACAGGAUUAGAUACCCUGGUAGUCCACGCCCUAAACGAUGUCGACUAGGUGUUCGGUGAGGAGACUCAUUGAGUACCGCAGCUAACGCGUGAAGUCGACCGCCUGGGGAGUACGGUCGCAAGAUUAAAACUCAAAGGAAUUGACGGA